rnacentral:rRNA from 1 species
UUAAGCGACUAAGCGUACACGGUGGAUGCCCUGGCAGUCAGAGGCGAUGAAGGACGUGCUAAUCUGCGAUAAGCGUCGGUAAGGUGAUAUGAACCGUUAUAACCGGCGAUUUCCGAAUGGGGAAACCCAGUGUGAUUCGUCACACUAUCAUUAACUGAAUCCAUAGGUUAAUGAGGCGAACCGGGGGAACUGAAACAUCUAAGUACCCCGAGGAAAAGAAAUCAACCGAGAUUCCCCCAGUAGCGGCGAGCGAACGGGGAGCAGCCCAGAGCCUGAAUCAGUGUGUGUGUUAGUGGAAGCGUCUGGAAAGGCGCGCGAUACAGGGUGACAGCCCCGUACACAAAAAUGCACAUACUGUGAGCUCGAUGAGUAGGGCGGGACACGUGGUAUCCUGUCUGAAUAUGGGGGGACCAUCCUCCAAGGCUAAAUACUCCUGACUGACCGAUAGUGAACCAGUACCGUGAGGGAAAGGCGAAAAGAACCCCGGCGAGGGGAGUGAAAAAGAACCUGAAACCGUGUACGUACAAGCAGUGGGAGCACGCUUAGGCGUGUGACUGCGUACCUUUUGUAUAAUGGGUCAGCGACUUAUAUUCUGUAGCAAGGUUAACCGAAUAGGGGAGCCGAAGGGAAACCGAGUCUUAACUGGGCGUUAAGUUGCAGGGUAUAGACCCGAAACCCGGUGAUCUAGCCAUGGGCAGGUUGAAGGUUGGGUAACACUAACUGGAGGACCGAACCGACUAAUGUUGAAAAAUUAGCGGAUGACUUGUGGCUGGGGGUGAAAGGCCAAUCAAACCGGGAGAUAGCUGGUUCUCCCCGAAAGCUAUUUAGGUAGCGCCUCGUGAAUUCAUCUCCGGGGGUAGAGCACUGUUUCGGCAAGGGGGUCAUCCCGACUUACCAACCCGAUGCAAACUGCGAAUACCGGAGAAUGUUAUCACGGGAGACACACGGCGGGUGCUAACGUCCGUCGUGAAGAGGGAAACAACCCAGACCGCCAGCUAAGGUCCCAAAGUCAUGGUUAAGUGGGAAACGAUGUGGGAAGGCCCAGACAGCCAGGAUGUUGGCUUAGAAGCAGCCAUCAUUUAAAGAAAGCGUAAUAGCUCACUGGUCGAGUCGGCCUGCGCGGAAGAUGUAACGGGGCUAAACCAUGCACCGAAGCUGCGGCAGCGACGCUUAUGCGUUGUUGGGUAGGGGAGCGUUCUGUAAGCCUGUGAAGGUGUACUGUGAGGUAUGCUGGAGGUAUCAGAAGUGCGAAUGCUGACAUAAGUAACGAUAAAGCGGGUGAAAAGCCCGCUCGCCGGAAGACCAAGGGUUCCUGUCCAACGUUAAUCGGGGCAGGGUGAGUCGACCCCUAAGGCGAGGCCGAAAGGCGUAGUCGAUGGGAAACAGGUUAAUAUUCCUGUACUUGGUGUUACUGCGAAGGGGGGACGGAGAAGGCUAUGUUGGCCGGGCGACGGUUGUCCCGGUUUAAGCGUGUAGGCUGGUUUUCCAGGCAAAUCCGGAAAAUCAAGGCUGAGGCGUGAUGACGAGGCACUACGGUGCUGAAGCAACAAAUGCCCUGCUUCCAGGAAAAGCCUCUAAGCAUCAGGUAACAUCAAAUCGUACCCCAAACCGACACAGGUGGUCAGGUAGAGAAUACCAAGGCGCUUGAGAGAACUCGGGUGAAGGAACUAGGCAAAAUGGUGCCGUAACUUCGGGAGAAGGCACGCUGAUAUGUAGGUGAAGCGACUUGCUCGUGGAGCUGAAAUCAGUCGAAGAUACCAGCUGGCUGCAACUGUUUAUUAAAAACACAGCACUGUGCAAACACGAAAGUGGACGUAUACGGUGUGACGCCUGCCCGGUGCCGGAAGGUUAAUUGAUGGGGUCAGCGCAAGCGAAGCUCUUGAUCGAAGCCCCGGUAAACGGCGGCCGUAACUAUAACGGUCCUAAGGUAGCGAAAUUCCUUGUCGGGUAAGUUCCGACCUGCACGAAUGGCGUAAUGAUGGCCAGGCUGUCUCCACCCGAGACUCAGUGAAAUUGAACUCGCUGUGAAGAUGCAGUGUACCCGCGGCAAGACGGAAAGACCCCGUGAACCUUUACUAUAGCUUGACACUGAACAUUGAGCCUUGAUGUGUAGGAUAGGUGGGAGGCUUUGAAGUGUGGACGCCAGUCUGCAUGGAGCCGACCUUGAAAUACCACCCUUUAAUGUUUGAUGUUCUAACGUGGACCCGUAAUCCGGGUUGCGGACAGUGUCUGGUGGGUAGUUUGACUGGGGCGGUCUCCUCCUAAAGAGUAACGGAGGAGCACGAAGGUUGGCUAAUCCUGGUCGGACAUCAGGAGGUUAGUGCAAUGGCAUAAGCCAGCUUGACUGCGAGCGUGACGGCGCGAGCAGGUGCGAAAGCAGGUCAUAGUGAUCCGGUGGUUCUGAAUGGAAGGGCCAUCGCUCAACGGAUAAAAGGUACUCCGGGGAUAACAGGCUGAUACCGCCCAAGAGUUCAUAUCGACGGCGGUGUUUGGCACCUCGAUGUCGGCUCAUCACAUCCUGGGGCUGAAGUAGGUCCCAAGGGUAUGGCUGUUCGCCAUUUAAAGUGGUACGCGAGCUGGGUUUAGAACGUCGUGAGACAGUUCGGUCCCUAUCUGCCGUGGGCGCUGGAGAACUGAGGGGGGCUGCUCCUAGUACGAGAGGACCGGAGUGGACGCAUCACUGGUGUUCGGGUUGUCAUGCCAAUGGCACUGCCCGGUAGCUAAAUGCGGAAGAGAUAAGUGCUGAAAGCAUCUAAGCACGAAACUUGCCCCGAGAUGAGUUCUCCCUGACUCCUUGAGAGUCCUGAAGGAACGUUGAAGACGACGACGUUGAUAGGCCGGGUGUGUAAGCGCAGCGAUGCGUUGAGCUAACCGGUACUAAUGAACCGUGAGGCUUAACCU